UUCAGAUAUGAUGGAACUC
rnacentral:piRNA from 1 species